rnacentral:tRNA from 1 species
GAGCUGUUAGUCCAAUAAAGACAACUGAUUUCGACUCAGUAGAUUAUGGUUUGAAUCCAUAACAUCUCU